CAGAUGUUUUUUAAAGGUCAGCUGUUUUAUGAAAAGCAGCCGUUACAUGAAAAUACAAAAGCUAACACAAAAAUGGAUCUAAAAGGCAGAGAUUCAAGGCAGCUAGUGUUCCUGAGUGGAAUGUUCCUGGGCAAAAUUAGCAUAGCAUUUAUUUAGUAUUCAGGUAAAGAAAACUCGCCAAAGAAGUUGUAAUUUUACCUCAAGUCCGUUGUUCUCCAUUAGAAGAGACCAAAGAAAUAGCAAUGAUAAGUAUUUUGAUGCAACCAUAAUCAUCAAAGAGCUAUAAUGAAACGAACCCCGCUCCUUUGAAUUUGUUAAGGGGGGAAGAUGCUGCCAUGGUAUUAAGUGGGUCUGACUGGACAGUUUAAAGUUACGCACAGUGGGAUUGGAAAAAUGAGUGCAAAUUAGUCAGCCAAUUGUGAACGGAUACAGAUAUUUUCAAUGAAAAUUUGCAAUUUGUCUAGCCACCAUAUCCAAUAUUGGUUAGUCCAAGGUUCGAUUGUCAGCACACCAAGUACUGCCGACAAGGGACUUGAGAACGAUGUUUCUACUUUUGUGUACGGUGAUGGCAUAUAAAGCAGUUAUAGUCCUAUGCAGCCUUCGAAAUGCAUGCUGAUGCUCGGCGAAUGAAAAUUGUCCAACGGGAGGAUCGGAAGGAGAAGUCUCUCAUGCGUCUUGGCUACUGAUGAAAGAAGACAGAUAGGUCUGUAGGUUUCGAGGUUUCAGUAGCGGGAUCACACGAUGUUUGGAGGAUGGGCAUCUUCCAAACAUCGGGUACUAUAAUAGUG
rnacentral:sRNA from 1 species